CGGGCUAGCUCAAUCGGUAGAGCGUGAGACUCUUAAUCUCAAGGUUGCGGGUUCGACCCCCGCGUUCGG
rnacentral:tRNA from 1 species